CACAUACUUCCUUCGUCCGAAAUUACUUGUCGCAUAAAUAUAUAAAAAUAAGUGUAUCUAAAACUAAAAUACAUCUAGAUACAUCCAUUCCUACGACAAGUAUUUCUAAACGGAGGAAGUAUGUC
rfam:Hordeum vulgare subsp. vulgare, WGS project CAJW01000000 data, contig: morex_contig_91334